rnacentral:rRNA from 1 species
AACGCUAGCUACAGGCUUAACGCAUGCAAGUCGAGGGGAAACGAUAUUGGAAGCUUGCCUCCGAUAGGCGUCGACCGGCGCACGGGUGAGUAACGCGUAUCCAACCUGCCCAUCACUUGGGAAUAACCUUGCGAAAGUAAGACUAAUGCCCAAUGAUAUCCCACGAAGGCAUCCGAAUGGGAUUAAAGAUUUAUCGGUGAUGGAUGGGGAUGCGUCUGAUUAGCUUGUUGGCGGGGUAACGGCCCACCAAGGCAACGAUCAGUAGGGGUUCUGAGAGGAAGGUCCCCCACAUUGGAACUGAGACACGGUCCAAACUCCUACGGGAGGCAGCAGUGAGGAAUAUUGGUCAAUGGGCGAGAGCCUGAACCAGCCAAGUAGCGUGCAGGAUGACGGCCCUAUGGGUUGUAAACUGCUCUUAUAAGGGAAUAAAGUGGGUCACGUGUGACUUUUUGCAUGUACCUUAUGAAUAAGGACCGGCUAAUUCCGUGCCAGCAGCCGCGGUAAUACGGAAGGUCCGGGCGUUAUCCGGAUUUAUUGGGUUUAAAGGGAGCGUAGGCCGGAGAUUAAGCGUGUUGUGAAAUAUAGAGGCUCAACCUCUGCACUGCAGCGCGAACUGGUCUUCUUGAGUACGCACAACGUGGGCGGAAUUCGUGGUGUAGCGGUGAAAUGCUUAGAUAUCACGAAGAACUCCGAUUG